rnacentral:rRNA from 1 species
AAUUUUGGACAAUGGGGGAAACCCUGACCCAGCCAUCCCGCGUGUAUGAUGAAGGCCUUCGGGUUGUAAAGCACUUUUGGCAGAGAAGAAAAGGUAUCUCCUAAUACGAGAUACUGCUGACGGUAUCCGCAGAAUAAGCCCCGGCUAACUACGUCCCAGCACCCGCGGUAACACGUAGGGUGCAAGCGUUAAUCGGAAUUACUGGGCGUAAAGGGUGUGUAGGCGGUGCGGAAAGAGAGAUGUGAAAUCCCAGGGCUCAACCUUGGAACUGCAUUUUUAACUGCCGAGCUAGAGUAUGUCAGAGGGGGGUAGAAUUCCACGUGUAGCAGUGAAAUGCGUAGAUAUGUGGAGGAAUACCGAUGGCGAAGGCAGCCCCCUGGGAUAAUACUGACGCUCAGACACGAAAGCGUGGGGAGCAAACAGG